rnacentral:tRNA from 1 species
ACCCCGGGCCCUGACCUUGGAAAAAGCA